UCAGUAACACGUAGUCAACCUGCCCUGGAGACGCGGACAAGCCCGGGAAACUGGGAGUAAUCCGUGAUAGACGACUUCAUCUGGAAGGAGAGGUCGUCGAAAGGGCGGCACGGGUAUGCUCUGUGCUAUUCGCUCCAGGAUGGGACUGCGGCCGAUCAGGCUGUUGGCGGGGUAAUGGCCCACCAAACCUGUAACCGGUACGGGCUUUGAGAGAAGGAGCCCGGAGAUGGACACUGAGACAAGGGUCCAGGCCCUACGGGGCGCAUCAGGCGCGAAACCUUCGCAAUGCGCGAAAUAGCGUGACGAGGCUAGUCCGAGUGAUCCCUGCUAAAGGGGUCUUUUCUCGGCUGUAAACAGCCGGGGAAUAAGGGGAGGGCAAGUCUGGUGCCA
rnacentral:rRNA from 1 species